rnacentral:rRNA from 1 species
UAGGGAAUCUUCGGCAAUGGGGGCAACCCUGACCGAGCAACGCCGCGUGAUUGAAGAAGGUUUUCGGAUCGUAAAGCUCUGUUGUAAGAGAAGAACGUGUGUGAGAGUGUAAAGUUCACACAGUGACGGAAACUUACCAGAAAGGGACGGCUAACUACGUGCCAG